rnacentral:rRNA from 1 species
GGGGGGGCAAGCGUUGUUCGGAAUUACUGGGCGUAAAGGGCGCGUAGGCGGUUCGCUAAGUUGGAUGUGAAAACUCUGGGCUCAACCCAGAGCCUGCAUCCAAAACUGGCGGGCUAGAGUUCUGGAGGGGGUAGCGGAAUUCCUGGUGUAGCGGUGAAAUGCGUAGAUAUCAGGAGGAACACCGGUGGCGAAGGCGGCUACCUGGACAGAAACUGACGCUGAGGCGCGAAAGCUAGGGGAGCAAACAGGAUUAGAUACCCUGGUAGUCCUAGCCCUAAACGAUGGAUACUUGGUGUGACUGGGAUUGAAUCCAGUCGUGCCGAAGCUAACGCAUUAAGUAUCCCGCCUGGGGAGUACGGUCGCAAGGCUG